rnacentral:rRNA from 1 species
UACGUAGGGUCCGAGCGUUGUCCGGAGUUACUGGGCGUAAAGCGCGCGUAGGCGGCGCGGUAUGUCGUGCGUGAAAUCUCCCGGCUUAACUGGGAGGGGCCGUGCGAAACUGCCGGGCUUGAGGUCGGAAGGGGAAAGUGGAAUUCCGGGUGUAGUGGUGGAAUACGUAGAUAUCUGGAGGAACACCGGUGGCGAAGGCGGCAUCCUGGACCGACACUGACGCUGAGGAGCGAAAGCCAGGGGAGCAAACGGG